rnacentral:antisense_RNA from 1 species
CUUGACCGAACCGAGCCAUAGCGGCCGACCGGCCCGAUCUUGUCCGUAGGUGGCCAAUAGUGCCUGCGCCUC